rnacentral:rRNA from 1 species
UGGGGAAUAUUGGACAAUGGGCGAAAGCCUGAUCCAGCAAUGCCGCGUGUGUGAAGAAGGCCUUCGGGUUGUAAAGCACUUUUAGCGAGGAGGAAAUGCUUAGAGCUAAUACCUCUGAGAUAUGACGUUACUCGCAGAAAAAGCACCGGCAAACUCUGUGCCAGCAGCCGCGGUAAUACAGAGGGUGCAAGCGUUAAUCGGAAUUACUGGGCGUAAAGCGCGCGUAGGCGGAUCUUUAAGUCGAGUGUGAAAUCCCCGGGCUUAACCUGGGAACUGCAUUCGAUACUGAAAAUCUAGAGUAUGGUAGAGGAAAGUGGAAUUCCCGGUGUAGCAGUGAAAUGCGUAGAUAUCGGGAGGAACACCAGUGGCGAAGGCGGCUUUCUGGACCAAUACUGACGCUGAGGUGCGAAAGCGUGGGGAGCAAACAGGAUUAGAUACCCCCGUAGUCC